AAUCAACGCUGGCGGCGUGCCUAACACAUGCAAGUCGAGCGAGAAAAGGGGGGCAACUCCCUGAGUAAAGCGGCGCACGGGUGAGAAACACGUGGGUAAUCUGCCCUGGAGUGGGGAAUAACACCGGGAAACCGGUGCUAAUACCGCAUACGAUAGCGAGGUCUUCGGACUUUGUUAUGAAAGGAGCAAUUCGCUCCAGGAGGAGCCCGCGGCUGAUUAGCUAGUUGGUGAGGUAACGGCUCACCAAGGCUACGAUCAGUAUCCGGUCUGAGAGGACGGUCGGACACACUGGAACUGAGACACGGUCCAGACUCCUACGGGAGGCAGCAGUGGGGAAUUUUUGGCAAUGGGGGCAACCCUGACCAAGCAACGCCGCGUGGGUGAUGAAGUCUCUUGGGACGUAAAACCCUUUCGACAGGGACGAAAGCCGCAAGGUUUGACGGUACCUGUAGAAGAAGCCCCGGCUAACUCCGUGCCAGCAGCCGCGGUAACAC
rnacentral:rRNA from 1 species